CUUUAGUAUAUACUACAGAGAAGUGACAUUCUGGAACUUCUGAGAAUAUAUCCUAAUAAACCUCACAGUUUCUAUUUAAUCCCCUUGGAAUGCUCUUUCUCAGGAUGUUCCUUCUUGGAAUCUUCCCUCCCAAAACUUAGCUGCCACGCUGUAGAGACCCAAGCCACAUGAAGAAACCAUGUAGUCAAAAUCUGAAAAUCAAGCAGAUGCCGUGCUGAAUCUAGAGAAAGGAAGACAGAGACUGGAGUGCAAGCUUACGCUACUCUACUACAAAGAUCAAUGGAAAAAGAAUAAUGACAGAAAAGGAGGAACAAGAAUGAAAAAACUACAUAAACAGAAACUAUGAGAUGAGUUGUAUACCUUGUUAAGAAUAAAUUGGAAACUCAAAUAUUUGUUGAUACUACCCAGAUUUCUGACUCCAC
rnacentral:lncRNA from 1 species